UACCAUAUGGGUGCUAGGAACUGAAC
rnacentral:piRNA from 1 species